rnacentral:rRNA from 1 species
UACAGAGACUGCAAGCGUUAUUCGGAUUCACUGGGCGUAAAGGGUGCGCAGGUGGCCAGGUGUGUGAGGCGUGAAAGCCCGGGGCUUAACCCCGGAAUUGCACCUCAAACUACUUGGCUAGAGCAUUGGAGAGGGGAGCAGAAUUCAUGGUGUAGCAGUGAAAUGCGUAGAUAUCAUGAGGAAUAUCAGAGGCGAAGGCGGCUCCCUGGACAAUUGCUGACACUCAGGCACGAAAGCGUGGGGAGCAAAAGGG